AGGAUCGGGACGGAGCCCGAAUCAACUCGGUAAUGAUCCUUCCGUAGGGUGAACC
rnacentral:rRNA from 1 species